UACGGGGGGGGCAAGCGUUGUUCGGAAUUACUGGGCGUAAAGGGCUCGUAGGCGGCCAACUAAGUCGGACGUGAAAGCCCUCGGCUUAACCGAGGAACUGCGUCCGAUACUGGAUGGCUUGAGGUUGGGAGAGGGAUGCGGAAUUCCAGGUGUAGCGGUGAAAUGCGUAGAUAUCUGGAGGAACACCGGUGGCGAAGGCGGCAUCCUGGACCAAUUCUGACGCUGAGUGAGCGAAAGCUAGGGGAGCAAACGGG
rnacentral:rRNA from 1 species